AGAAAUAUGUCUGAUUAAAGAGUUACUUUGAUAGAGUAAAGCAAAGAGGUUUAAACCCUCUUAUUUCUA
rnacentral:tRNA from 1 species